GUCGUCACAUCCGGUGUCACAAAGGCUCUAGAAUAUUACCGUAGCUUCGCGUUCAUUCCGCCGUGUGUGUAUUUAAGCGCGUGUCCUGCUGCUGGCGCUCUUUCAGUCUGUCAUGACUUUACAAAACAUAUCUGCAUUAACGUUCACGUAAACAAACUCUGAACGUGCGCUGGACGCGUCUACAGGAGCGUUAUAUUACAUAUCAACAGCGGCUGGACCUGUAGGUCUUCACCUGCGGAAGAGAGCGGCCUUACGGGCCCGUCGUCAUGCUGUGCUGGGGGAACGCCUCGUACGGACAGCUGGGUUUGGGUGGGAUUGAUGAGGAGAUAGUGCUGGAGCCGAGGAAAUGCGAGUUCUUGGAGGGCAAGCGUGUGCGGGAUGUGGGAUGCGGCAGACGUCACAGUGUCUUUCUGCUGGAGGACGGGACGGUGUACACCUGCGGCUGCAAUGACCUGGGACAGCUGGGGCAUGACAAAGCACGCAAGAAACCAGAACAGGUCAUGUCUCUGGAUGCUCAGAACAUUGUGGCCGUGUCUUGCGGUGAAGCUCAUACUCUGGCUCUGAAUGAUAAAGGACAAGUGUUUGCAUGGGGUCUGGGCUCAGACGGGCAGCUCGGCCUUUCAAACAUCGAAGAUCGUAUCCGUAUACCCAGAACUGUCAAGAGUUUAUCAGAGGUCCACAUUGCCCAGGUGGCCUGUGGAAACUGCCAUUCCCUUGCUUUAGCCAGAGGAGGUCAGAUAUUCUCCUGGGGCCAAAAUAAAUAUGGACAGCUGGGGCUGGGAAUGCAGGGAGCCGGCGUCUCCUCCCCACAAGUCGUUCAGUCUUUGCAGGGCGUCCCAUUUGCCCAGAUAUCUGCAGGGGGCGCUCACAGCUUCGGGCUCACGCUGUCUGGGGCCGUUUUCGGCUGGGGGCGAAACAAGUUUGGCCAGCUGGGCCUCAGUGACAAUGAUGAUCGCUGUUUCCCUGCCUUGCUGAAGACUCUCAGGUCCCAAAGGGUCGUCUACAUAAGCUGUGGAGAGGACCACACGGCUGUACUAACAAAGGAGGGAGGUGUGUUUACAUUUGGAGCUGGAGGUUACGGUCAGCUGGGACACAACACCACAAACAAUGAGGUGAACCCCAGGAAGGUGUUUGAGCUCAUGGGAAGUGUGGUUGCACAGAUAGCUUGUGGUAGGCAGCACACUUUGGCGUUCAUCCCUUCAUCGGGAAAGAUUGACUCGUUUGGUCUCGGCGGUAACGGACAGCUAGGAACCCGCUCGACCUGCAAUAGGAUAAGUCCCGCCCCUGUGAAGGGCUGCUGGCGAGCACAUACUGAUCCUGUGCCCGUGGAUGUAGAGGCGGAGCAGAGUUUCUGUGUGAAAAGGAUUUAUGCUGGAGGAGACCAGAGCUUCGCUCACUACGCUUUACCUCAGGACGACAGCCCCCCAGUUGACCGGAGGAUAACCAGACCUGAUGGACAGAUAUACACGCUCAGUGAUGACCUCAUCCAAAAAUGGCUCAAUCACGGCCAUGGGAGACUAUCACCAGAAAUCACCAAUGAGAUUGAUCUUGUGUUCUCUUCAGCAAGUUGUCUCAAUGGAAGCUUUCUUUCUGGAAGUAAUCCAGAUCACUACAGCACUAACAGUAAGUGCUCAGGUGUAGACAUUAACACGGCUCGCCUGCUCUACCACAGACUCAUCCAGCCCGAUUACCCACAAAUCUCACAAAUUGUAGCUGCUAGUUUGGAGAAGAAUCUCCUCCCCAGAUUGAGCAGUUCUCCUCCAGACAUUGAGGCUUUGAGACUGUACCUCACGCUGCCCGAGUGUCCGCUCCUCAGCAACCCCAACAACUACACAACCCUCACGAUUCCCUUCGCCAAGGCUGUCGUGAGCCUGAAGGACGCCCCCCUCAGAGUGCUCGGAAACUGGUGGUCAAAGUUUGAGCCAGCGGUCUUCCAGAGGCUGGUGGAGCUCUAUAAAGAGGUGGUGGUGUAUCUCCUGCGGAUGCAGAAGCUGGGAAUUCCUCUUUCUGAACAGAGGAUCUUCACCUGCUUCCUGCACACCUCACUCAAGUUCCUGGAGAUCCUCCACUCGGUUAAUGAGCGUGCUGGCCAGAUCAUCCAGUAUGACAAGUUUUAUAUUCAUGAGCUGGAUGAGCUCAUUGACAUCAGGAAUGAUUAUGUCACCUGGUUUCAGCAGCAGAUGUUCUCUGUGGUGAGUUUUCUGCAUUGUCCAAAGGUCAUGGACUCUCAGGUGACCAUGUGCAAAUACCCAUUUGUUUUUGAUGCUCAGGCGAAGACGGCGCUGCUUCAGACUGAUGCUGUGAUCCAGAUGCAGAUGGCGGUGGAUCAGGCUCAGAGACAGAACUUACACUCUCUGUUCGUGCCCGGCGGAGGAGUGGAGUCAGUAAACCCCUGCCUCAUCCUCAUCGUACGCCGAGAAAACGUGGUCGGAGACUCCAUGGAGGUGCUGAGGAAGUCCAAAAACGUCGAUUACAAGAAGCCACUCAAGGUGAUCUUCGUGGGAGAGGAGGCCGUAGACGCUGGCGGUGUGAGAAAAGAGUUCUUCCUGCUCAUCAUGAAAGAACUCUUGGACCCUAAAUAUGGGAUGUUCAGAUACUACGAGGAGUCCAGACUCAUCUGGUUCGCUCACAAGACAUUUGAAGACAUCGAUCUGUUCCAUCUGAUCGGUGUGGUCUGCGGAUUGGCCAUCUAUAACCUCACUAUAGUGGAGCUGAACUUCCCGCUAGCGCUGUACAAGAAACUCCUGAAGAAAACUCCCACCCUAGAGGACCUGAAGGAGCUCAUGCCUGACGUAGGAAGGAGUCUUCAGCAGCUGCUGGAUUACACGGAGGAUGAUCUGGAAGAGGCUUUCUGCCUGAAUUUCACAAUCAUAGAGGAAAGCUUUGGCACCACAGAGGUAUUGGAGCUGGUUCCCAACGGGACAGACAUCAGCGUCAACAAGUCCAACAGGCAGGAGUUCGUCAAUGCCUACGUCGAUUAUAUAUUCAACACCUCCGUGGCUCCUCAGUUCAGCGCUUUCUACGCGGGAUUUCACAAAGUGUGUGGAGGGAAAGUUCUAGAGCUUUUCCAGCCCAGUGAACUGCAGGCCAUGGUCAUAGGAAACACCAAUUAUGACUGGAAGGAGCUAGAGAAGAGCACAGAGUAUAAGGGCGAGUACUGGGCGGAUCACCCCACCAUCAAGAUAUUCUGGGAAGUGUUUCACGAGCUGCCUUUGGAGAAGAAGAAACAGUUCCUGCUGUUCCUCACGGGCAGCGACCGAAUCCCCAUCCUUGGCAUGAAGAGCCUGGCGUUAGUGAUCCAGCCCACCGGUGGCGGAGAGGACUAUUUCCCUGUAGCGCACACAUGCUUCAACCUGCUGGAUCUGCCCAAGUACACUAAUAAGGAGACACUCAAAGAGAAACUGCUGCAUGCCAUCGAACACACCCAGGGCUUCAACCUCGUCUGACGUCAGCGAGCGCAGACCCAGCAAUCCGUGUACAGACCGUAUGUGAGACACAGAUGUGGACUGAUGGACUGCCGUGGAUUAUUGUGAUGUUUUUAUCAGCUGUUUGGACUCUCAUUCUGACGGCACCCAUUCACUGCAGAGCAUCCAUUGAUGAGACACUGAUGCAGUGCUACAUUUCUACAAACCUGAUGAAGAAACAAACCCAUCCUGAUCUCGGAUGACCUGAGGAUGAGUACAUAUUCAGCAAAUUUCUGGGAGAAAUACUCCUUUAACCAUGCAACACACUACAGUAAGAAUCUAUACAUUAAUAUAAGCAUCAUAAAAGAACUGUGUUUUACAGAAUGUAUUAAUUUAUAAAUUCACCAUAGUGAACAAAUUAAUAAAUGUUCAUUUAUAAAAAUACUGUUACAUUGUAUUACUAUUACUGUAAAAAUGUAUAUGUAAAAAAAUACACUGAGAUUAUUAGUAUUAACUAAUGUUAGCAUUACAAAACCUUUGUUUUUUUAUUUUAUUUAAUUACAUAGAAUAUGUAUUUAUUCUAUGUUUAUUCUAAAUGGCUUCACAAACCGUCUCGUGGAUGGAGCUGAUAGGAAGAUGCUGGAUUUGUUAAAUGUUGUGUGACUUUUUCUGAAAACAUUUUGGCAUAUUGUUCAGAUUCAGUUUAGGAUGCACUGGAUGGAUAUUGACGCAGAAUCAUUUUGUUCUGCACAUGAUUUUGUUCGAAGGAAGUGGCGUGUGUCCUUGCAGGAUCUUAAACCACUUCUGUGUCACGUGCCUUAACUGAAAACACACACACAGAUUGUUUUGGGCUUUUUUGUGUUUCAUUUUCUUCGAAGUUUGAGUAAGUAUCAAAAUCUGAUAGCAGCAGCAGCAGCAGCAGCACGUGUCUGAUGAAAACGCUGUUCAUCGCUGAUAUAAUGUUCAUUUACUGGAGCGGCAAUGCAAAGUCUUACAGAUGUUUAGAAGUUUGCAUGAUUACAGAAUCAAAUAAAACGCCACUGAUAACAUUCUAAGUAAUAACUCAUGUCCAAUACAGAUAAAAAAUGAGUUUGAUGAAUGGAGUUCAAGUUUGAACUCCAUCAGUCUUAACCCUCUCGUCACGCACGUGUCUACACUGUGUGAGCUUUUAAUUUCUUC